rnacentral:rRNA from 1 species
GACGAACGCUGGCGGCGUGCUUAACACAUGCAAGUCGAACGGUGAAGCGAGUGCUUGCACUCGUGGAUCAGUGGCGAACGGGUGAGCAACACGUGAGUAACCUGCCCAUCACUCUGGGAUAAGCACUGGAAACGGUGUCUAAUACUGGAUACGACCAACCCUUGCAUGGGGUGUUGGUGGAAAGAUUUAUCGGUGAUGGAUGGACUCGCGGCCUAUCAGCUUGUUGGCGGGGUAAUGGCCCACCAAGGCGACGACGGGUAGCCGGCCUGAGAGGGUGACCGGCCACACUGGGACUGAGACACGGCCCAGACUCCUACGGGAGGCAGCAGUGGGGAAUAUUGCACAAUGGGCGAAAGCCUGAUGCAGCGACGCCGCGUGAGGGAUGACGGCCUUCGGGUUGUAAACCUCUUUCAGCAGGGAAGAAGCGAAAGUGACGGUACCUGCAGAAGAAGCACCGGCUAACUACGUG